rnacentral:rRNA from 1 species
CUACGGAGGGUGCAAGCGUUACCCGGAAUCACUGGGCGUAAAGCGCGCGCAGGCGGUCUUUUAAGUUGGAUGUGAAAGCCUACGGCUCAACCGUAGAACUGCAUCCAAAACUAUUAGACUAGAGUGUGGGAGAGGAAGAUGGAAUUAGUUGUGUAGGGGUAAAAUCCGUAGAGAUAACUAGGAAUACCAAAAGCGAAGGCAAUCUUCUGGAACACUACUGACGCUGAGGCGCGAAAGCGUGGGGAGCAAACAGGAUUAGAUACCCUAGUAGUCC